UGAGUAGGUGGCUCGGUAAGCGUGUGGUGAAAGCCUGGGGCUCAACCCCAGGUCUGCCAUGCGAACUGCCAAGCUUGAGCAUAGUAGAGGCGGGUGGAAUUCCGGGUGUAGCGGUGGAAUGCGUAGAUAUCCGGAAGAACACCGGUGGCGAAGGCGGCCCGCUGGGCUAUUGCUGACACUGAAUCACGACAGCGUGGGGAGCAAACAGGAUUAGAUACCCUGGUAGUCCACGCCGUAAACGAUGGGUACUAGGCGUCUGGGGGAGCGACCCCCUGGGUGCCGUCGCUAACGCAUGAAGUACCCCGCCUGGGGAGUACGGCCGCAAGGCUGAA
rnacentral:rRNA from 1 species